rnacentral:rRNA from 1 species
GAUGAACGCUGGCGGCGUGCCUAAUACAUGCAAGUCGAGCGAACAGACGAGGAGCUUGCUCCUCUGACGUUAGCGGCGGGCGGGUGAGUAACACGUGGAUAACCUACCUAUAAGACUGGGAUAACUUCGGGAAACCGGAGCUAAUACCGGAUAAUAUAUUGAACCGCAUGGUUCAAUAGUGAAAGACGGUUUUGCUGUCACUUAUAGAUGGAUCCGCGCCGCAUUAGCUAGUUGGUAAGGUAACGGCUUACCAAGGCAACGAUGCGUAGCCGACCUGAGAGGGUGAUCGGCCACACUGGAACUGAGACACAGUCCAGACUCCUACGGGAGGCAGCAGUAGGGAAUCUUCCGCAAUGGGCGAAAGCCUGACGGAGCAACGCCGCGUGAGUGAUGAAGGUCUUCGGAUCGUAAAACUCUGUUAUUAGGGAAGAACAAAUGUGUAAGUAACUAUGCACGUCUUGACGGUACCUAAUCAGAAAGCCACGGCUAACUACGUG